rnacentral:rRNA from 1 species
CAAUAGCGUAUAUUAGAGUUGUUGCGGUUAAAAGCUCGUAGUUGGAUUUCUGCCGAGGACGACCGGUCCGCCCUCUGGGUGAGUAUCUGGCUUGGCCUGGGCAUCUUCUUGGAGAACGUAGCUGCACUUGACUGUGCGGUGCGGUAUCCAGGACUUUUACUUUGAGGAAAUUCGAGAUUUUCAAGCAGGCAUGCGCCUUGAAUACAUUAGCAUGGAAUAAUAAGAUAGGACCUCGGUUCUAUUUUGUUGGUUUCUAGAGCUGAGGUAAUGAUUAAUAGGGAUAUUCGUAUUUAACUGCCAGAGGUGAAAUUCUUGGAUUUGUUAAAGACGGACUACUGCGAAAGCAUUUGCCAAGGAUGUUUUUCUAUUGAUAC